UUGAUUAAAAGCUAUCAGUCCCAAUAACCUGUACCUGCGCUCAGCUGUUUUAGUAUUUUAUUGCCGGGUUCAAGCGAUUGCCGAUACUCCAAGAUCGUGCCCAGACGUCACAUACAUCAUCCAUCACAUGGUGCUUUCUUGAGAAUUGGUCUGUUUACUCUUCUCACGUCUUUGAAACUUUCCAUGUUCAGUGUUUGCCUUUGCAUAAUUAUAUUUUUUGACAGGGGUAAAUAGUCGGGCUGGGCUGCAGGGGGCGUGGCCGCUGUUAUACGACCCUAUCCCGGAGUGUGUACAGCUUAACACCGUGGCCCACCGUAAUUAACCACCCAAAUAUUUGCCCAUGUCAGCGAUAAGAAUUACGACUCUGACUGGGAUCUUUUGCACGACUGAUACGGCGGAUCAUUCGCAUCGCAGCUUCUCGGGACUCGCACGACUGGGCGCUGAUCUUUGCGUUUAUCUUCCGGCUAUAUUUAGAUCGCCUGGCUUGGUCGGCUGUCUCAUCGCAGUUUUCAGGAGGAUUCAGGCCACUCCGUAUCCGGUUUACGAUGGCUAAACUGAGGUCUUUUACAACAAAAUUUAACACAGAGAUGUAAUCUUCUAUAAAUAAACUCACACUCGGCACCAUUAAACACAA